GAGGACGGUUUGAUUAAUUCCGUAUCUCAGCGGAAAUCGAAGCAUCUUAGAAGAUCAAGGUUUCAGAACUCUCCUGGGGGAAAAGACAUCAGCCACACGGCACAAAGGAAACCCUUCUGUUUGUCAGAGAAACACCUAAUUGUGCCUUUUCCUCCUUGAAGAAGUUUAUAAACAUUUGCAAGUUGUCAGAAAUAAUUAGUCUAAAAUUGUUUCAUAAACCAUGGGAUGAAACAGUACGUGCCUUGUUGAGAUCAAAGGGCUCCUGUUACCUCCUUGUUAAUGCACUUGAGACUCCUGAAAG
rnacentral:lncRNA from 1 species